UGGGGAUUAGCCAAAUGGGAAGGCGACGGGCUUUGAACUCGUCAUCGACUUGGUUCGAUUCCAAGAUCCCCAGCCA
rnacentral:tRNA from 1 species